UUGUCCUUUUAACUCAGUGGUAGAGUAACGCCAUGGUAGGGCGUAAGUCAUCGGUUCAAAUCUGACAUGAUAAA